GUCCCCUUAGCGUAGCCGGCAGCGCGUCAGUCUCAUAAUCUGAAGGUCCGGAGUUCGAACUUCAGAGGGGGCA